AGUGUUUAAAUUAAGUUAUAACUUAACUAAUUAGACUUAGAAAGUCUUUAAGUUCUCCAAAUAAGUUAAUUUGAUUUAGUUGAUGAUUAUAGUGUUUUAGUUAAGUUAAAAUUUAAUUAAUUAGACUUGGAAAGUCUUUAAGUUCUCCAAAUACUUAAUGUUAUUUAGUGGGUGAAUGUAGUGUUAAAAGUAAGUUAAAACUUAACUAAUUAGACUUAGAAAGUUGUUAUGUUUUCCAAAUAAGUAAUGUGAUUUUGUUGGUGAUAUAGUGUUUGUAAGUAAGUUAAAAAUUAAGUAAUUAGACUUAGAAAGUCUUUAAGUUCUCCAAAUACUUAAUGUGAUUUAGUUGGUGAAUAUAGUGUUAGAAGUAAGUUAAAACUUACCUAAUUAGACUUAGAAAGUUGUUAAGUUUUCCAUAUAAGCAAUGUGAUUUCGUUGGUGAAUAUAGUGUUUGGAAGUAAGUUAAAACUUAACUAAUUAUACUUACAAAGUAUUUAAGUUCUCCAAAUACUUAAUGUGAUUUAGUUGGUCAAUAUAGUGUUAGAAGUAAGUCAAACCUAAACUAAUUAGCCUUAGAAAAUCUUUAAGUUCUCCAAAUAUUUUAUGUGAUUUAGUUGGUCAAUAUAGUGUUAGAAGUAAGUAAAAACUUAACUAAUUAGACUUAGACAGUUGUUAAGUUUUCCAAACAAGUAAUGUGAUUUCGUUGGUGAAUAGUGUUAGAAGUAAGUUAAAACUUAACUAAUUAGACUUAGAAAAAUUGUUAAGUUCUUCAAAUAAGUUAAUGUGAUUUAGUUGGUGAAUAUAGUGUUUGAAUUAAGUCAUUUUUCAUUUCAGAAAUAUUAUGUCUGGGCUCCCGAUCAUGAGGAAGAAGUUCAAGCAAACUUUAAGGUUAAAGAUUCAAAGUUGCUGCCUAGCACAUUUAGUGAAUGUCGAAAAAAUAAUAGAAUUCCUUACUUUAUGGUACCAACUCGAUGGGAUCUAUUAAUGGAACAUUGGGAUAUUGAUGAAAACUUUAUAAAGAGGAGUGUGAUUGGGAAGAUGGCUCGCGCAUCAGAAAAGUCUCUUUGCACAUCGGUGGAGCUAUUAGCCUAAUUUCUAGGAAGGAAAGAAUGGUAAACUUUACUAAUUUUGUAAAAUAUUUGUUUUUAUUUUCUGAUAAGUAGUUUUUGUAGAUGAAAUUAUACUUGUUUUAUUUGCAGGAAAAAGAGUUGGGUAGGUCGGUAGCUGUAGAAGAGAUGUUCAAGGUUACUCACGUCAAGAAGAGUACGAAUCCCGAAGAAGAAGAAAGAUGGAUUGAGCCACGUGCAAAAGAGACAUAUGAAUACCGUAGUACUCUACCUCUUGAGAGACGGAAUAGAUCAUUUACACAAGAAGAAAGUGAGAAUCGUGAAAUAUUCUUCCUCCAUGUCCCGCAAGUAGUGAUGAUGGAGCUAAUCAGGAGGGUGAUGAGAAUGAUAAGGGUGAUAAAGAGAGUAUCGGUGAUAAUGAAUAGUUGUAUUGGUUUGACAUUUUAGACUUCUAUAUUUUUGGAUUGUCUGAUCAUAUUUUAGUUUAAUUUGAAGUUGGAUGAAGUUUAUUUUGAAAUAGUUUAAUGUAUAUUUUGAAAAUACUGUGUUGUUUUGGUUGGAUGAUGUUUAUUUUAAAAUAGCUCAUUUG